AGCUCCAAUAGCGUAUACAAAAGUUGCUGCAGUUAAAAAGCUCGUAGUUGGAUUUUGGGAAUGAUUGCGGUUAGCCCAUCGAUUGAUGUGUGCUUCCGUAACGUUUCUUUUCUUCCCACUGUGGUCCGAGGGUAUUAAGUUACUGUCGGGUGCCGCGUGGGAUCGUUUACUUUGAAAAAAUUAGAGUGUUCAAAGCAGGCUAGUUACGGCCGUUGAAUAUUUCAGCAUGGGAUAAUGGAAUAAGACCUUCUCUUAUUUUGUUGGUUUUCAAGAUGUAGGUAAUGAUUAAUAGGGACAGUUGGGGAUAUCAGUAUUUAGUAGUCAGAGGUGAAAUUCUUGGAUUUACGAAAGACUAACUACUGCGAAGGCAUUUAUCAAGGAUGUUUUCAUUA
rnacentral:rRNA from 1 species